GUGGGAAGCCGGUCGUGGUAGUUGGGCUCUGAGGGAAUUCCUGAUGAGUUCGUUCCUGCUUGAUAAGUGGCUCGUGAAUUGUGCCCAGUCAGACUGCAGCACAAUAUUGUCCAGAGAUCAGGAUGGUGGUACAUGCAUAUAGUCUCAGCACUUGGGAGAUUGAGUAGAUUAAGUUCAAGAAUAGACUCCCAAAUGAAUGAUGGCUCAGACUAACUGCAAAGGAUCCUAGGAGCUGUGGUUUCCCUAUGGGUCCAGGAAGAAAAGAAGAUGGUGGAUUUUUGUGAGCAGGCAGCUAUUUCUGGCAUGGAUAUUGUUAUUCUCUGGACCUGAAGGAGAAACAUAGAUCCCUCCCCAUUUACCACACCACCACAGGUAGUAGAAGAAGAGCACCUGGAAAAAAAGUAGGUACUGGCUGGAUUUAUUUAUUUAUUUAUUUAUUUAUUUAUUUAUUUUUAUUGUGACUUAUUAUUUUUCAAUAUUUGUUUUUCGAUUGUAGUUGGACAUAAUACCUUUAUUUUAUUUGUUUAUUUUUUAUGUGGUGCUAAGGAUCAAAUCCAGGGCCUUGCAUGUACUAGGCGAGCGCUCUACCACUGAGCUACAACCCAAGCCCUGGAUUGAUUUAUUGAUUAAAGUGACAUUGCAAGACACCAGACAGUAGCUGGUCCCUUCACAGCAAUGCUUUACUGAGGGUGAUGGAGGACUGUGUGCAAGCCAGUGUAAACCUGGUGGAAGCCAAGGUGGCUCGUUUUUUGCUAUGAGCUAGAUAUGAAAUCAGCAGGAGUUAUGCCAAGUCCAAGAAACUCUGGGAG